rnacentral:misc_RNA from 1 species
UUUCCGUAGGUGAACCUGCGGAAGGAUCAUUGCGAAACGUUGAGAGAAGAAUGUUGGAAUGAGGGGAGAGAUGCAUGUGACAACAAUAACGUAACUUAUAACUAGCCACCUUGGAUCUCUGGGCUCUU